UCGAUUAUACUACAAAAACUACUGAACCAGUCGGAAUUAUACUUAUACCAUAAGAUGCAGCGUGUUUCGGAGAAGGUUUUAAUAUAUGAUAUGUUGGUGAUUACUUAUCUUGUAAAGAAAUAUGGAUGGACAGAUGUCGCUAGUAUCUAAUAUAAGGCUUAAUAAAAAUACUUUUAAAGAUU